rfam:Picea glauca, whole genome shotgun sequence.
UGGUGCGAUCAUACCAGUGUUAAUGCACCAGAUCCCAUCAAAACUCUGCAGUUCAGCACGAUUGGGCUAGAGUAGUACUGGGAUGGGUGUCCUCUCGGGAAGUCCUAGUGUUGCGCCCU